rnacentral:lncRNA from 1 species
AAAAUUCUCAGCACAGAAUAUAAAAUUAUAAUAAUCUAUUUCGUAAUUUAUCAAUUAUAACUGAAUGUUAACAUUGAAUUAUUGUUAAUUAAUAAUACAAGGUAGUAUCAAAAAAUUUCCAAACUGUUUUCAGUGAACAGGAAUAGAACAUAGUAAACUGUUGUCAUGAGAUGGUUCCUUCUGGUAGCCAUGUCAAUUAGUGUACCAAGAGUCAUUGUGCUGACUAAAUACAACUUCAUGCAGCAUUUUUUUCGUUUAUCACAUACUACAAUGACUUUCUCACCACCAAAAAUGAUGCAUAAAAUUCUGUGUCAAAAUUGAUAAAAACAUGUCACAAACACAGAAAUUGCUUCAGCAGACAUUUAGUAACUGUGUUUUAGGCAACAUACAAAUCUAUGAAUAGCAUGGAUCCAAGAAACACUAGAAGACAAUGAAUGGAUAGGAUGCCUUUUGACAAACAUAACUUCUGAAGAGUUAAGAAAGUUCAUGAAUUAAUCAUGAGGAUCAUCACAAAAGCAUUUCAGAUAUUGCUGCACGACCAUGUGAAGCUGAAGUGCCCAGAGUUAUGGACUAUUGAGAAUCAGAUGAUCCAUCAUGAAAAUACUGCAGUUCACAUCCAUCAGUGUGUAGCAGUUUUUGGUCUGAACAACAGGAUUGCUAUUCCUCAUCUCUCUAUUCUCCUGAUUUGCCAUCUUUGACAUUUUUAUCUUCUCUAGAAUGAAAAUGAAGUUCAAAGACUGGAGAUCUGACACAACUGAGGAGAUUCAGGAAGAGACAAAGAGUGUGCUGAAGAGUAUGAAGGAGAGAAAGUAUUUCAACAAUGGCAGAAUCAUUGGGAGCAUUGAAUCAACUCUCAAGGAAACUACUUUGAGAGGAAUGGUGGUAUUUAAAAUCUCAGAGAUUAGUCUGUUAGUUUUUAUUGAGCCAGUUUGAAAAUUUUUUGAUAUCACUUCAUAACAUAUUUGAAUUGUUAUUAAUUGAUAAUAUAUAAUUAUUAUAUAUAGG